rnacentral:rRNA from 1 species
UACGUAGGGUGCGAGCGUUAAUCGGAAUUACUGGGCGUAAAGCGUGCGCAGGCGGCUUCGCAAGUCAGACGUGAAAUCCCCGGGCUUAACCUGGGAAUGGCGUUUGAAACUACGGAGCUGGAGUGUGGCAGAGGGAGGUAGAAUUCCACGUGUAGCGGUGAAAUGCGUAGAUAUGUGGAGGAAUACCGAUGGCGAAGGCAGCCUCCUGGGCCAACACUGACGCUGAGGAGCGAAAGCGUGGGGAGCGAACAGG